AAAUUACGAGCUUCGCAGGGGGCCAUUGUAUAGAUGGCGCAUAAUGAGCAUGUGGUGGUGGUAGUGGGGGGAGUAAUCACCUAGGCUCCCUGCUAGGUGAUGACACUGCCAUCUUAAAUUGAUCGAAAAAUUACAAGUUUCGUGGAUGGCCAUUAUGAAGAUGACGUAAUACGUGUAUCCAAGGGGUCCACAUACCUUCCUUGCUGACGUAGGAUCGGCCAUUUUGAAUCGAUUUGUGCCAGGAAUUUGCAGGAGAGCUUCGUCGUCCCGUUAAUAACAGACAAUAAUAUGUAUAUACAUUGCAUUCCACGAAUCGAAGUUCGUAGAAAUACACUUCGUAGAAAAUUAUUCGCUUCAAAACAUUGCCGAACGUUUGGUUGGACAACGAAUGGUGGGGGAAGUCACCUCUCUCUGUGUAACACAAUAUAUCUAAUUGCGACGUCACGGUUUUACUUAUCUUUCUCCGUUCUCUCUUUUUAUAGGAAAUAAUCUACGCAGUAUACAAAUCCUCAAUUUGUUUGUGCUGUCCCUC